AUGGGAAUGGGAAUUACAGAGAAAAUCGGGAUGGGAAUGGGAAUUACAGCAGGAAUGGGAUGGGAAUGGAAUGGGAUGGGAAUUACAGAAGGAAUGGGAAUUACAGCAGGAAUAGGGAUGGGAAUGGGAUGGGAAUGGGAUGGGAAUUACAGAGAGAAUGGAAAUUACAGCAGGAAUGGGAUGGGAAUUACAGAGAGAAUGGGAAUUACAGCAGGAAUGGGAUGGGAAUUACAGAGAGAAUGGGAAUUACAGCAGGAAUGGGAUGGGAAUGGAAUGGGAAUGGGAUGGGAAUGGAAUGGGAUGGGAAUUACAGAAGGAAUGGGAAUUACAGCAGGAAUGGGAUGGGAAUGGGAUGGGAAUUACAGAGGGAAUGGGAAUUACAGCAGGAAUGGAAUGGGAAUGGAAUGGGAUGGGAAUUACAGAAGGAAUGGGAAUUACAGCAGGAAUAGGGAUGGGAAUGGGAUGGGAAUGGGAUGGGAAUUACAGAGGGAAUGGGAAUUACAGCAGGAAUGGGAUGGGAAUGGAAUGGGAUGGGAAUUACAGCAGGAAUGGGGAUGGGAAUGGAAUGGGAAUGGGAUGGGAAUUACAGAGAGAAUGGAAAUUACAGCAGGAAUGGGAUGGGAAUUACAGAGAGAAUGGGAAUUACAGCAGGAAUGGGAUGGGAAUGGAAUGGGAAUGGGAUGGGAAUGGAAUGGGAUGGGAAUUACAGAAGGAAUGGGAAUUACAGCAGGAAUGGGAUGGGAAUGGAAUGGGAAUUACAGAGAAAAUGGGAAUUACAGCAGGAAUAGGGAUGGGAACGGCUGGAGUGCAGAGGGAAUGGGAGGGAUUGGAUGGGAAUGGGGAUUCAGUGGGAAUGGGAGGGAUUCCAUGGGAACAGCAGGAAUUCAACGGGAAUGGCACAAAUUCAUGGGAAAACCCCCCCAUUUACAGAAUUCCCGAACAAUUCCCUCUUUGCCCAGCCAAUUCCAGCCAUUCCAUGGGAUUUACGGGAAUUUUGGUGCCCUUGGGAAGCUCCCAUAA
rnacentral:lncRNA from 1 species